rnacentral:rRNA from 1 species
AACGUAGGAGACGAACGUUAUCCGGAGUUACUGGGCGUAAAGGGCGUGUAGGCGGUUUGUUAAGUCUGGCGUGAAAGCUCUCGGCUAAACCGGGAGAGGUCGUUGGAUACUGGCAAACUUGAGGAUGGUAGAGGCGUGUGGAAUUCCGGGUGUAGUGGUGAAAUGCGUAGAGAUCCGGAGGAACACCAGUGGCGAAGGCGGCCGGCUGGGCCGUGCCUGACGCUGAGGCGCGAAAGCGUGGGGAGCGAACCGG